rnacentral:rRNA from 1 species
AGAGUUUGAUCCUGGCUCAGAUUGAACGCUGGCGGCAUGCCUUACACAUGCAAGUCGAACGGCAGCACGGAGCUUGCUCUGGUGGCGAGUGGCGAACGGGUGAGUAAUAUAUCGGAACGUACCCUGGAGUGGGGGAUAACGUAGCGAAAGUUACGCUAAUACCGCAUACGAUCUAAGGAUGAAAGUGGGGGAUCGCAAGACCUCAUGCUCGUGGAGCGGCCGAUAUCUGAUUAGCUAGUUGGUAGGGUAAAAGCCUACCAAGGCAUCGAUCAGUAGCUGGUCUGAGAGGACGACCAGCCACACUGGAACUGAGACACGGUCCAGACUCCUACGGGAGGCAGCAGUGGGGAAUUUUGGACAAUGGGCGCAAGCCUGAUCCAGCAAUGCCGCGUGAGUGAAGAAGGCCUUCGGGUUGUAAAGCUCUUUUGUCAGGGAAGAAACGGUGGGAGCUAAUAUCUCCUGCUAAUGACGGUACCUGAAGAAUAAGCACCGGCUAACUACGUGCCAGCAGCCGCGGUAAUACGUAGGGUGCAAGCGUUAAUCGGAAUUACUGGGCGUAAAGCGUGCGCAGGCGGUUUUGUAAGUCUGAUGUGAAAUCCCCGGGCUCAACCUGGGAAUUGCAUUGGAGACUGCAAGGCUAGAAUCUGGCAGAGGGGGGUAGAAUUCCACGUGUAGCAGUGAAAUGCGUAGAUAUGUGGAGGAACACCGAUGGCGAAGGCAGCCCCCUGGGUCAAGAUUGACGCUCAUGCACGAAAGCGUGGGGAGCAAACAGGAUUAGAUACCCUGGUAGUCCACGCCCUAAACGAUGUCUACUAGUUGUCGGGUCUUAAUUGACUUGGUAACGCAGCUAACGCGUGAAGUAGACCGCCUGGGGAGUACGGUCGCAAGAUUAAAACUCAAAGGAAUUGACGGGGACCCGCACAAGCGGUGGAUGAUGCGGAUUAAUUCGAUGCAACGCGAAAAACCUUACCUACCCUUGACAUGGCAGGAAUCCCGAAGAGAUUUGGGAGUGCUCGAAAGAGAACCUGCACACAGGUGCUGCAUGGCUGUCGUCAGCUCGUGUCGUGAGAUGUUGGGUUAAGUCCCGCAACGAGCGCAACCCUUGUCAUUAGUUGCUACGAAAGAGCACUCUAAUGAGACUGCCGGUGACAAACCGGAGGAAGGUGGGGAUGACGUCAAGUCCUCAUGGCCCUUAUGGGUAGGGCUUCACACGUCAUACAAUGGUACAUACAGAGGGCCGCCAACCCGCGAGGGGGAGCUAAUCCCAGAAAGUGUAUCGUAGUCCGGAUUGUAGUCUGCAACUCGACUGCAUGAAGUUGGAAUCGCUAGUAAUCGCGGAUCAGCAUGUCGCGGUGAAUACGUUCCCGGGUCUUGUACACACCGCCCGUCACACCAUGGGAGCGGGUUUUACCAGAAGUAGGUAGCUUAACCGUAAGGAGGGCGCUUACCACGGUAGGAUUCGUGACUGGGGUGAAGUCGUAACAAGGUAACC